UGUUCAGUGAUCUGGCCUUGACAAAUUGGGCUAUUAACAUCCAUUUCUAUCCUAUACCUAUACCUAUACUCUAAGGUGAUACUAGCAGAGCAGAGUAUAGACCUAUCCAAGUAUUUUUCCUGCUUGAGUGUACUGGAGCACGAGGGUGGGCACUACCUGCCAGCCACCGGUCAACCUAAACUUAAACUUCAGGAUUUCUUGACACAGAUGCAAGAAAUCUGUUUCAAGUAAACUUGUAUUUGUUUUUUGAAUAAAAUUUAUUCAAUUAUA